UCAUAAUGAAGAUAUCAUGCCAGAAAAAUUGGAAUGAUACACAGAAGAUUAAUAUGGCACUUGUGCCAGGAUGGCAAGCAAAUUUGUGAAACAUUCCAUAAGGAU